GAUCUUUAUACUGGAGCUCUUUUUCUAUUAUUUCUUUCUGCCCUAUCCUUAAUAGGGGGUUGGUUACACCUACAACCAAAAUGGAAACCAAGAGUUUCAUGGUUCAAAAAUGCUGAAUCUCGUCUGAAUCAUCAUUUGCCAGGACUAUUCGAGGUAAGCUCCUUGGCUUGGACAGGUCAUUUAGUACAUGUCGCUAUUCCUGCAUCCAAGGGGGAAUAUGUUCGAUGGAAUAAUAUCUUAAGUGUAUUACCGCAUCCCCAAGGGUUAGGCCCACUUUUUACGGGUCAGUGGAAUCUGUAUGCUCAAAACCCCGAUUCAAGUAGUCAUUUAUUUGGUACCUCCCAAGGAUCAGGAACUGCCAUUCUAACCCUUCUUGGGGGAUUCCAUCCACAAUCGCAAAGUUUAUGGCUAACUGAUAUGGCACAUCAUCAUCAAGCUAUCGCAAUUCUUUUCCUCAUUGCGGGUCAUAUGUAUAGAACUAACUUUGGAAUCGGACACAGUAUAAAAGAUCUUUUAGAAGCACAUAUUCCUCCGGGAGGACGGUUGGGGCGGGGGCAUAAGGGUCUUUAUGACACAAUCAAUAAUUCGAUUCAUUUUCAAUUAGGCCUUCCUCUAGCCUCCGUGGGAGUUAUUACUUCCUUGGUAGCUCAACACAUGUACUCUUUACCUGCUUAUGCGUUCAUAGCGCAAGAUUUUACGACUCAAGCUGCGUUAUAUACCCAUCAAUAAUACAUUGCAGGAUUCAUCAUGACAGGAGUUUUUGCUCAUGGAGCUAUAUUUUUUAUUAGAGAUUACAAUCCAGAACAGAAUGAGGAUAACGUAUUGGCAAGAAUGUUAGACCAUAAAGAAGCUAUCAUAUCCCAUUUAAGUUGGGCCAGCCUCUUUCUAGGGUUCCAUACUUUGGGACUUUAUGUUCAUAAUGACGUCAUGCUUGCUUUUGGUACUCCCGAAAAACAAAUCUUGAUCGAACCCAUAUUUUCCCAAUGGAUACAAUCCGCUCAUGGGAAAACUUCAUAUGGAUUUGAUGUACUUUUAUCUUCCGACAAAUGGCCCAGCAUUUAAUGCGGGUCGAAGCAUAUGGUUGCCCGGCUGGUUAAAUGCUAUUAAUGAGAAUAGUAAUUCAUUAUUCUUAACAAUAGGUCCUGGAGAUUUCUUGGUUCAUCAUGCUAUUGCUUUAGGUUUACAUACAACUACAUUGAUCUUAGUAAAAGGUGCUUUAGAUGCACGUGGUUCCAAGUUAAUGCUAGAUAAAAAGGAUUUCGGGUAUAGUUUUCCUUGCGAUGGUCCGGGACGAGGUGGUACUUGUGAUAUUUCGGCUUGGAACACAUUUUAUUUGGCUGUUUUUUGGAUGUUAAAUACUAUUGGAUGGGUUACUUUUAUUGGCAUUGGAAACACAUCACAUUAUGGCAAGGUAACGUUUCACAUUUUAAUGAAUCUCCACUUAUUUGAGGGGAUGGUUAAGAGAUUAUCUAUAGUUAAACUCUUCAGAACUUAUUAAUGGAUAUAACCCGUUUGGUAUGAAUAGUUUAUCAGUCUGGGCAUGGAUGUUCUUAUUUGGGCAUCUUGUUUGGGCUACUGGAUUUAUGUUCUUAAUUUCCUGGCGUGGUUAUUGGCAGGAAUUGAUUGAUACUUUAGCAUGGGCUCAUGAACGUACACCUUUGGCAAAUUUGAUUCGAUGGAAAGAUAAACCAGUAGCUCUUUCAAUUGUGCAAGCAAGAUUGGUUGGAUUAGCUCACUUUUCUGUAGGUUAUAUAUUCACUAUGCGGCUUUCUUGAUUGCCUCCACGUCGGGCAAAUUUGGUUAAUUAUUUAAUUAUUCUAUCCGCAAUAAUAUUUUUUCUUAUUAAUUUUAUUAAAAUAAUAAAAAUAUAGGUAUGCACUCUUAUAUUUAUUUCUACAUCUAGGAUCCGAUUUGUAUCAUUAUCAUUGAUAAUAAGAGGAACUUAAGCAUUAUGGCAAAGAAAAGUUUGAUUUAUAGGGAGAAGAAGAGGCAAAAAUUAGAACAAAAAUAUCAUUUGAUUCGUCGAUCCUUAAAAAAGGAAAUAAGUGAGAUUCCGUCGCUAAGUGAGAAGUGGAAAAUUCAUGGAAAAUUACAAUCCCCACCGCGUAAUAGUGCACCUACACGUCUUCAUCGACGUUGCUUCUCGACCGGAAGACCGAGAGCUAACUAUCGAGACUUUGGACUAUCUGGACACAUCCUUCGGGAAAUGGUUCAGGCAUGUUUAUUGCCAGGGGCAACAAGAUCAAGCUGGUAAAGAUUUAAGUAUCCUUUAAUUUUUCUAUUUUUUCUAUGCUCGACGAGGCCCCUUUACCAUUCUGUCUAAAUAGGCUAUUCUAUUUGUACAGAUAUGGAAUAGGGGCGCAUUCAAUUCGUCUUUGUUUAUUAGAGUUUAGUCCAAGUUUUUUUGUUUCAUCGCGGGGUAGAGCAGUUUGGUAGCUCGCAAGGCUCAUAACCUUGAGGUCACGGGUUCAAAUCCUGUCUCCGCAACAUUUUUUUUUCAACAAAUGUAAGUUUGAUUCUAUUAACUAUAAUUAAUACUUAUCUUUUGGGACGCGAGGCAAAAAUUACUAUAUUUCCCGGUCAACUAUACCGAAUCUUUGAUCUUUUUGAAUCCAUUUCUAUUUGGGCGGAUAGCGGGAAUCGAACCCGCGUCUUCUCCUUGGCAAAGAGAAAUUUUACCAUUCGACUAUAUCCGCAUUUUUUUGCCUUCUUGAUAAGAAAUUUAUGGAUAAUAUUUGUUCAAAGCUAUACGAGAUACACUCUUUGGUUUGGGGUCAUUUGAUAAAACUCUACUACCAAAAAACAAAAAAGUUCAAUUAACAAUUCUAUUAAUAUAUAUAAAUAUAUAUAUAUUUAUUAUAUAUUAAUAAUAUAUUUAUUCUAUAUCUAUAUAUAGAAUUCCAUAUUCAAUAAUAUAUUAUUCUCUAUUUCCAUAAAAUAUUAUAUUCUAUAUUGAUAUCAGAUAUCAAUUUUUGAUUCGUUUUUUUUUUAUUUAAUUAGUUAUUACUAUUUCAUAGUUAUAUUUAGUAAAUUGCUAUUUAUUAAUAUUUGAUUCAUAUUUCACUCAAGUUACAGAAGUUCGACCCCCCCUCUAAUUUUUUUGUUUUCUUUAUUUGCAUUUUAUGGACUUAUAUUGAAUUUGAAUGUGUAAUUCGUGGAAUGGGAGGGGUCAUCUCAUUUUUUGAUCUGCAACGAAUGAAUUCAAGAGAUAAGAGAAUUAAGGAUACCCACCAAGAAGACUAAUCCAAUCCAUAAAGAUGUACCAGAAAAUACAACAUUUUUGUUACUCGACCACCCAUCAGGAGACGCAAAUACAACGGGUACACUAAUCAGUAAGAUUGAUGAAGUAAUAAUUAAUGCAAAAACAGCCAAUUGAAAAGCAAUAGUCAUGUUUUUAAUCCUCCAAGCUAUUAACAAUAUACACCAUUUAAUCCUCUUACCCACUAAAAAAAUUUUAAUAAAUAAAGGGAUUUUAUCAUGAAUCCGUUUAUUCGAGAUGCCUUAUUUCCAACUUCUUUUUACCACUUUUAUUCUAUUCGGACAUGAAGUUAAAGGUUCUUUUUUACUUCACAAAUGGGUAGACUGGAUCAUGUAUCUCAUUUAUAUAGACCAAUUGAUAGACUUAUAAAGAAAGUCACACCCUAUAUCUUUUUCUACAUAGUGAUCGUAUUAACUCAUCGAGCUAUGUUCUAUUUGGCGAAAAAAAAGAUAAAAUAGAAAUUAUCUUUUGGAGAGAUGGCCGAGUGGUUGAUGGCUCCGGUCUUGAAAACCGGUAUAGUUCAUAAAAAAUAACUAUCGAGGGUUCGAAUCCCUCUCUCUCCUUUUGUUGGAUGAAUAGAUUUUUUUCUUUAUUGGCUUUUUUUACUCCUUAGCAUCAUAAAAAAGGAGAAUGGCUCGGCUAUACUAUCCAGCCGAGCCAGAAAAAACGAGAUUGAAUUGAAAGAAAGAAGACUUUUUAAUAUGACCCGAUUUUUACUUUCCUAUUUUAACUACUACUUUAGUUAAGAGGAGUCAUAGAAAGAACAGGUUCAAAAACACGAUCAAUUCCUUUUUCAAAUCCUGCUGCCGCUGCCCAAGCUCUUCCCGCAUUCCAUAAAUGACCCACGAAUAGGAAGAAUCCUAGAACAAAAUGAGAGGUAGAUAACCAACUUCUCGGAGAGACGUAAUUGACUGCAUUGAUCUCAGUAGCUACGCCCCCUACAGAAUUUAAGGAACCUAAAGGAGCAUGAGUCAUAUAUUCUGCAGAACGUCGUUCUUGCCAAGGUUGUAUGUCUUUUUUCAACCUACUUAAGUCCAAACCAUUAGGACCCCUUAAAGGUUCUAACCAGGGAGCACGCAGAUCCCAAAAACGCAUUGUUUCUCCUCCAAAAAUAACUUCUCCAGUCGGGGAACGCAUUAAGUAUUUACCUAAACCUGUAGGUCCUUGAGCAGACCCCACGUUAGCUCCAAGACGUUGGUCUCUAACUAGAAAAGUAAAUGCUUGAGCUUGAGAAGCUUCUGGCCCUGUAGGUCCGUAAAACUCACUAGGGUAAGCAGUAUUAUUAAACCAGACAAAACAACAAGCAAUGAAACCACAAACAGAUAAAGCAGCUAAACUAUAAGACAAGUAAGCCUCCCCAGACCAUACAAGUGCGCGGCGAGCCCAUGCAAAAGGUUUGGUUAAGAUAUGCCAGAUUCCACCAAAUAUACAAAUGGAACCUAACCAUACAUGCCCUCCAAUUAUAUCUUCCAAAUCGUCCACACUAACAAUCCAUCCUUCUCCCCCAAAGGGAGAUUUUAGUAAAUAACCAAAUAUAACACUUGGGCUAAGAGUCAAGUUUGUAAUUUUUCUUACAUCCCCCCCUCCUGGAGCCCAGGUAUCAUAUACGCCCCCAAAAUAGAGAGCCUUGAAUACUAGAAGAAAAGCACCUACACCUAACAAAAUUAAGUGAAUACCCAAAAUGGUGGUCAUUUUAUUUCUAUCUUUCCAUACAUAACCGAAAAAUGGAAAAGAUUCUUCAAGAGUUUCACUAGGGUAAGCAAUAUGAUAAAUACCGCCAAAGCCCAAAACUGCAGAAGAAAUUAAGUGAAGUACUCCAGAUACAAAGUAUGGAAAGGUGUCUAUAACAUCUCCCCCAGGACCUACCCCCCAGCCUAAAGUGGAAGUAAAAUCAAUCCUUGUUCAUACAUGGGCUUUUCAUGUACAAAAUGAGCCACUUCAAAUAAGAAGCUAGACCGACUACUCCAAGAGCACUCAUCCAUAAACCAGUUACUGGUACAAAUAACAUAAAGAAAUGUAACCAACGUUUAUUGGAAAAAGCAACCCCAAAGAUUUGUGACCAAAAGCGGUUAGCGGUGACCAUUGAAUAAGUUUCUUCGGCUUGAGUUGGGUUAAAAGCACGGAAUGUAUUUGCACCAUCACCAUCUUCAAAUAAAGUAUUUUCUACAGUAGCACCAUGAAUAGCGCAUAAAAGAGCCGCGCCCAGUACACCAGCGACUCCCAUCAUAUGAAAUGGGUUCAAUUUCCAAUUAUGAAACCCUUGGAAAAAGAGGAUUAAUCGAAAUAUAGCCGCUACACCAAAACUAGGCGCAAAGAACCAACCAGAUUGACCUAGUGGAUAAAUUAGAAAGACAGAAACAAAAACAGCAAUUGGACCAGAGAAUGCGAUUGCAUUAUAAGGUCGCAAUUGAACAGAUCGAGCAAGUUCAAAUUAACGUAACAUAAAACCUAUUAAUGCGAAAGCACCAUGGAGAGUAACAAAAGCCCACAGACCGCCUAAUUGACACCAACGAGUAAAAUCUCCUUGUGCUUCAGGACCCCCACAGUAACAACAAAGAAUGCGCUAAACUAUUAGCAGGAGUAGAAACUGCAGCGGUUAAAAAAUUGUAACCUUCUAAAUAGGAACUAGCCAAUCCAUGAGUAUACGAUGAAGUUACAAAGGUUGUACCUGUGAACCAACCCCCCAAAGAGAAAUAGGCACAAGGAAAGAGCAAUAGACCAGACCAACCUACAAAAACGAAGCGGUCCCUCCGUAACCAGUCAUCCAUAAUAUCAAAUAAAUAUUUUUCGUCUUUGGUACUAAGAGAUUCCCAUAAUCGGAAUCCAAUGAAUCGACCCAGAUCAUAUGGAUCCUGAUCAUGAUCCGGCCAAGGCCAUGGACAUCACCCCUGAACCGGCCAAGGCCAUGGUUCUGUGCUAUCAAGUCUUCAGCGUAUGCUCCCCUGGAGCCAAGUCCUCUCAUGGACUAAUAAUGCCCAUCAGAUCCUAAAUCAAUCAACCAACCACCCUACAUGACUCAAAACUGAUAAGUCUUCACAUUUACCUAACCGGCCAUGGGACCUUUUCCCAACGGAGCCGAUUAGUCUCACAAGACGUUCGUGUAUCCUAGCUAGACACUCAUCAUACCAUCAGUCACAGUCCAGACUAGGGUUGAUAGUAUACGCCAUCACCAUCCCUAACAGGCCAUGCGGCCAUUAGUCCUCCUUCACAACAGUUCCGAUCACACUGUUGCAACCGUCAUGAAACCACCUUGGUGAAAGGUCAUUCACAACCAUCCAGAGAUCACACUGUGAUGGUUCAGACCGUGAUCAACACCCACCAAGUUUCCAUAUCCCGCUCCAUAUGGAAUGGCCGAUGUAAUGCAUCCGUCCAACACACCAUAAGGACAGGUUAUACCAACUAUGAUCCUACCCCUUCCUCAACUACUAGGUCCUUAGAUCACAUCACAUUAUAUGUAGUUUUCAAGGGCGUGCUGUUGAGAUGAAGAAGUCAUUAUGAUAAGGAGAAGAGGAGUUGUGCAAGUAAUGGGAGAGUGUACGGCCUAUGUACGGAUAGGGCAUGUACGGAUAGAGCAUGUACGGAUAGGGCAUGACCGUACAGCUUAGGAAACAUGAAGGAAGAAGGAGAUGGACGAGUGAAGCCUCUAGAGUACACGGAAGGUUUAAAGCUGAUCAGACCGUUUAGAGAUAAGGGCGGGACGAGCCUUAUCCAUCCGGUCUUUGGACAGGCUGUAAAGGCAAAGCAAAAGCAUGUGAGCUUUGCCAUCCGUUGAAUUCAAAAGAGACGCUCCCUCCUUGCCUUGACUUCACAUGCUUAUGACUAGUGCCAUUUCCCUUUACUUGAAAACCCUAAUGUAUCUCCUAUAAGUAUUGUAAUCCCAUCUCAUAAUAAGAUUAGACAGUUCUAAACAAUCUUUCUCUUUACUCAUUUCACUAUGAUUCUCCAUUAGUCUCUUAUCAGUCUCUUAAUCUCUUAUUCUCCUUCUCUAAUCCUUUCUAAACUCAGAUUAUUCUUUACAUUCCUAAAUUUCAUAUGGUAUCAGAGCCAGGUUGAUUACAAUCUGAGUUCGUGAGUGAUUCUCUUAAGGAUUCAAGUUUGAAACUUUAAGAGAACAAGUGAGUGUGUUUGAGAGUUCUUUAGAUUUCAAAAGCUCAAGGUGUUUUGUGUGUGUCUUGGUGAUCCGUGGGAGGUUCAUUUGAAGACUCAAGAGUGAAUCUGUGUUCUAGAGAGCAGCGUGGGUUCUCAGUACAAGAUCUAACCGGUUGUUCAAGCUGUAGACGUCAAGCUGUUCAAGAUGGAGAGUGGCAUGAAGAUGAAGGUCGCGGUGACAUUCAAAGGAAGCAACUACCUAGUCUGGUCUAGGAUGGUGAAGACUGCUGUGGGAAGCAAGGGUUUGUGGAAGCAUAUCACAUCUGGUGAGGCUCCAAUGGCGAUUACUCAGGAGGGUGACAAGGAGAGCCCCGCGGAGAGUGUUGUAGAGAAGUGGCAACAAGAAGACAUGAUGGUGAUGUCAGUCCUUCAUGCUUCUUUGGAGCCGGCUAUCUUAGAUGCUUAUAGCUACUGUGAGACAGCCAAGGAGCUGUGGGAUACUCUGAAGAAAGUGUAUGGAAACACUUCCAACCUGAACCGAGUGUUUGAAGUCAAGAAGGCAAUCAAUGGGUUAACUCAAGAUGACAUGGAGUUCACUAAGCACUUGGGGAGGUUCAGGUCUCUUUGGUCUGAGUUGGAGAUGCUGAGGCCAAGCACGGUUGAUCCAGAACUUCUAAAUGAGAGGCGUGAGCAGGAUAAGGUCUUUGGGUUGCUGCUCACACUGAAUGCGAGUUACAAUGGUCUCAUCCAGCACAUGCUAAGGUCCGAGAAGCUACCUGAUCUUGAGGAUGUGUGUGCUCAGAUACAGAAGGAGCAGGGCUCAAUGGGUUUGUUUGGAGGCAAGGGAGACUUAUCUCUAGCAAAUGCUGCGCAAUCUGACCGAGAAGAGACUCCACAAGCCAACAAAGCUGGUUACAACAAGUAUGAGGAUAGGAAGUUCAAUGGGAAUUGUGAUCAUUGCAAGAAGCAUGGACACAAGAAGAGUCAGUGCUGGAUACUCCAUCCCCACUUGAAGCCGGCUAAGUUCAUGAAGGAGAGAGAGGCAAAAGCUCACAUGACUGAAGGAUCAAGCGGAGCAGGGCCAUCUAACCGAGGAACGGAAGUGGAGAACCGUGAAGGAGAUGGAAAGGCUUUGGUGACCUAUACUGGAGCUAUCAACCCCCGAGGCAAUGAUCAAGACUUCAUCAGGAGAUCCGAGAUGGAUGCACUCAUCAAAAUGCUCAAGGAUAAUGGUAACAUUCAUGGGUAUUCAUUUGGUGCUUCUAUGAUUGCUAGAACUAUAGAAAUGACUCCUAAUGUGGCUGAGAUUGCUAGGAUUGAUAGUAAGACUGGAAUUGAGCAUUGCAUUGAUAGAAAUGCUAGGAUGAAUGCAUAUAGAUCACAGAUUAGCAUCUGCCAUAGUGCUAGCAAUACAUCCAAACCAUUGAUUAUAGAUUCAGGUGCAUCUCAUCAUAUGAUUAGUGACACCAACCUGAUUAAAGAUAUAGAACCUACUAAUGGAUGUGUGAUGAUUGCAAAUGGGGAUAAGAUACCUAUUAAGGGAAUAGGAAACUUAAAGCUAUUUGAUAAGAACACUAGAGCUUUUUACAUUCCGGAAUUCACAUCAAAUCUACUUUCAGUUAAGAAAUGCACUACUGAUUUGAAUUGCAAUGUUAUAUUCAGUCCUAAUGAUGUGAAGUUUCAGGAUAUUGAGAGCAGCCAAUUGAUUGGAAAAGGAGUUACAAAGGGAGACUUAUACAUGCUUGAGAAGCUUGAUCCUGUUUCCAAUUAUAACUGCUCAUUUACUUCUGCUUCUAGUUUGAAUAAAAAUGCAUUGUGGCAUGCUAGAUUAGGUCAUCCCCAUGAGAGGGCUUUAAACUUGAUGUUACCAGGUGUGGUUUUUGAAAAUGAUAAGUGUGAAGCUUGCAUUUUAGGCAAGCAUUGUAAGAAUGUGUUUCCAAGAACAUCUACUGUUUAUGAAAAUUGCUUUGAUUUGAUUCAUACUGAUGUGUGGACUGCACCUAGUUUUUCUAGAGAUAAUCAUAAGUACUUUGUCACAUUCAUUGAUGAAAAAUCUAAAUACACCUGGUUAACACUAAUUCCAUCAAAAGAUAGGGUGAUAGAUGCAUUCAAGAACUUUCAAGCUUAUGUGACUAACCAUUAUCAUGCUAGGAUUAAAAUUUUGAGAUCAGAUAAUGGAGGAGAGUACACAAGCUAUGCGUUCAAGAGUCAUCUAGAUCAUCAUGGAAUCCUUCAUCAAACAAGCUGUCCCUACACACCACAACAGAAUGGUGUAGCUGAGAGGAAGAACAGGCACUUGAUGGAGGUGGCUCGGUCACUGAUGUUCCAAGCCAAUGUACCUAAGAGAUUCUGGAGUGAUGCUGUAUCCACUGCUUGCUAUCUCAUCAACCGGAUGCCUACAAAGGUGUUGAAGGAUCAAGCACCAUUUGAAGUUCUGAACAAGCGCAAGCCAUCCUUGGAAUACAUGAAAGUGUUUGGAUGCUUAUGCUAUGUUCUAGUACCAGGAGAGUUGAGGAACAAGCUAGAAGCAAGAAGCAGAAAGGCAAUGUUCAUUGGCUACUCAACAACUCCAAAAGAAUAUAAGUGUUAUGAUCCAGAAGCUAGAAGGGUGCUUGUAUCUAGAGAUGUGAAGUUUAUUGAAGAAAGGGGAUACUAUGAGGAGAAGAAUCAAGAAGAUUUGAAGGAUCUCACAUCAGAUAAGGCUGGAGUCUUAAGGAUCAUUUUAGAAGGUCUCGGUAUCAAGAUGAACCAGGAUCAGUCCACAAGAAGUGAAAGCCAAGAAGAGAACUCAACUGAACCAAGUAGAGCCGCUCAAACACCUCACCUUGAUCAUGAGGGGGGGAAGUGAACCUAAAACUCAAGAAAAUGGCCAAGAAGGAGUCGGCUUGAGUGAGGAAGGAGAAGAGUUCAACUCAGGUUCUCAUCAUCAAGGUGAGCAAGACCAAGGAGAUGAAGACCAUCAGAGUAAAGCACAAGAACCGCAUGCACAAGCUGAGUCGGUUCAAGAGCAAGAAAAACCAGUAUUGAGGAGAAGCACAAGGCUGAGAAAGGAUCCUUCCUCUUGUGUAAACACGCGAGAGUACUACAAUGCCCAAGAUGUGGAGCAUCCUUCUCAAGUUGUGUGUUCCUUUGCUCAAUACCCUGAAGAACAUUGUGCCUUCAUGGUUAACUUGGAUGAGAACUACAUCCCAAGAAGCUAUGAAGAGGCAAUAAUGGAUAAAGAAUGGAAGGAGUCAGUUGGAGCUGAGGCAGGAGCUAUGAUCAAGAAUGAUACAUGGUAUGAGAGUGAGUUACCAAAAGGGAAGAAGGCUGUGACUAGUAGAUGGAUAUUCACAAUCAAGUACAAAGCGGAUGGAAAGAUUGAGAGGAAGAAGUCAAGGCUAGUUGCAAGAGGUUUCACUCAAACUUAUGGAGAAGAUUACAUAGAAACCUUUGCACCAGUAGCUAAACUACACACAAUCCGGAUUGUAUUAAGCUUGGCUGUGAAUCUUGGAUGGGGGUUAUGGCAAAUGGAUGUGAAGAAUGCCUUCCUACAAGGAGAACUUGAGGAUGAAGUGUAUAUGUAUCCACCUCCGGGCCUUGAACACUUAGUGAAGAGAGGGAAUGUGUUGAGGUUGAAGAAAGCUAUCUAUGGGCUGAAGCAAUCACCAAGAGCUCGGUACAACAAGCUGAGUACUACUCUCAAUGGCCGCGGCUUCAAGAAGUCUGAACUAGAUCACACCCUCUUCACACUCACUACUCCCUCAGGUAUGAUUGCUCUCCUUGUGUAUGUUGAUGAUAUCAUUAUCACAGGAAGUGAUAAGGAAGGUAUCAUAGCAACCAAGGAGUUCCUUAAAUCCAUGUUUGAGAUUAAAGACUUGGGAGAAAUGAAAUACUUUCUUGGAAUUGAGAUAUGUAGAUCCAAGGAAGGUUUGUUCAUGUCCCAAAGGAAAUAUACACUUGAUCUUUUGAAAGGUGCAGGUGCUUAUUGCACAUUCAUUGGAGGCAACUUGGUUACUUGGAAGAGCAAGAAACAGAAGGUGGUGUCUUGUUCAAGUGCAGAAGCUGAGUAUAGAGCUAUGCUGAAGCUUACCAACGAGCUAGUGUGGAUCAAAGGCAUCUUGAAGCAUUUGGAGAUUGAUCAAGCCACGCCAAUGACAAUGCAUUGUGAUAACCAAGCUGCCAUCCACAUUGCCUCCAACUCGGUGUUCAAUGAAAGAACCAAGCACAUUGAAAUUGAUUGUCACAAAGUGAGGCAGAUGAUCAUCUUAGGAGUCAUCUUGCCAUGCUACACAAGGAGUGAAGAUCAGUUAGCGGAUGUGUUUAUCAAGGCUGCAAGGCAGAAGACAAUGGAGUUCAUUCACAUAAGGUUGGGCCCCAUUGAUCUUGGGAAGAGAAGGAGCUGAUCCCCUUUGGCUGUGAGGUCUUUACUCUUUUUCCCUCAUCAAGGUAUUGUCCCAAUGGGUUUUCCUUGGUGAGGUUUUUAAUGAGAAAGAUUUCAUGGCUAUCCAAGCUUAGGCUUUCACAAAGCUAAGCUUGAGGGGGAGUGUUAAGAAGAGGUCAGUAUAUGAGAAGCUAAGGAGAUGAGGAAAGGAUGAUCUAAGGGAGAGUGAAGGCAAGCUGAAGUAAGCAUCCGUACAAGGCCGUACAUGAGCCGUACAAGGCCGUACAGGUUGAGAGAGUAACUCGGCUACUUCACAUGCUUAUGACUAGUGUCAUUUCCUUGUACUUUAAAACCCUAAUGUAUCUCCUAUAAGUAUUGUAAUCCCAUCUCAUAAUAAGAUUAGACAGUUCUAAACAAUCUUUAUCUUUACUCAUUUCACUAUGAUUCUCCAUUAGUCUAUAAUCAGUCUCUUAAUCUCUUAUUCUCCUUCUCUAAUCCUUUCUAAACUCAGAUUAUUCUUUACAUUCCUAAAUGUCAUACGUGCCAUGCUUGGCCAGGACCAGUUCCACAAGAGACAUAAACAUAAAUCGGAAAGUAAUCAUAAACCGGUUACCUUAUACAUGAUCUGAUUAGAUCAUGUGUCUUCCCUUAUCAUGGACGUCCAUGCUCCUCCAAAGCACGCCUACAUCAUGUCUUAUCAAGCCCUUAUCAUAUACUUACAGUAAUGAUAAGAUCCAGGCAAGGGUCGCUCAUCUCUUCCCUUGAACUCCCAUGAAACUGAUUUCUGCACUGCAUCCGCCUUCAAGGCUGUCUAUGCCAUUGGGAGUGGAGUCCCGCCUUCCUCUUUCUCUCCUGUAUAUUUGCGUGUGUUCCCAAGACAUAGAGGAAGCCUAGGAUGUGAUCAUCCAUGAUCAAACUCCAUUACAGGGUCGUUCCCAACUCCCAUGAAACUGCCUUCCCACACACCUCUCUCCUUAAGGCUCUCUUGACCUUAGGAAGUGGAAUCCGGCCAUCCCUCUUCUUCCCUGACUAUUUGCAUGUGUUCUCAGGCCCUGGAGGAUUCUUUGGGUGUUAAUAACAGGAAUCAAAACCCAUCAAAGGGUCGUUCAUAACUUCCCCUUUGAUCUCUCCCAAAACUGCCUCUUUAUGGCCUUCACACCACUCUUGGGUUGGAUAUUGAAUCCGACCAACUCUCUGUGUUUUCUCUGUUUUUAUUUGUGUUUCAGGGUGUAGGAGGAAGCCAUGGCGUGACUGCAAAGGCACUGACUUGCCUGCCUUUUAUAGAAGAAGGGGUGGUUACUUCUUAACCAUUGCAUCCCUUCGGUUUCAAUUCUGGCCAUUGAUUUAAUCAAUGGUCCAGAUCACACCCAUUCGCCUAUGACAGUUACCAGACGUUCUGAUCCUGCUUAUCCACUCCUAGACAAGUCACACUGGAGCCCUCAUGGAUUACCCAAACCCCUGGCUCAAUCCCAAGAGCCCACCGGCUCAUAGCCAUCCUUGGCCAACCAACCGGCCCGGUAACCGCCCGGACCUGUCCUACUGGUCUGAGACCU
rnacentral:lncRNA from 1 species